UACGGAGGAUGCGAGCGUUAUCCGGAUUUAUUGGGUUUAAAGGGUGCGUAGGCGGGAUGCCAAGUCAGCGGUAAAAAUGCGGUGCUCAACGCCGUCGAGCCGUUGAAACUGGCGUUCUUGAGUGGGCGAGAAGUAUGCGGAAUGCGUGGUGUAGCGGUGAAAUGCAUAGAUAUCACGCAGAACUCCGAUUGCGAAGGCAGCAUACCGGCGCCCCUACUGACGCUGAGGCACGAAAGCGUGGGUAUCGAACAGG
rnacentral:rRNA from 1 species